ACUCUUCCACUGUUCUCCCCUACCUUAGCCGCUCACAAGACUUUAGCAGCUCUUCCAGGCCGGCUCCUCUUCCUUCUCUUGGUGCGUGCUCAUAUCAUGGCCAAGAUUUGCUCAUGCCUCUUUCCACUUCAAGCAUGCAUAUGCGUCGUCUCUGCUGGCAGCCCGGCCGUUCUGACGCUAGCUGAUCGAUCUACUCCAUCACCGAGCUGGCUCUUCUAUGGAUUAUUCGUCCUCGUCCACCGUGGGACGCCAUGAUAGCAAUAUUAAGCUAGCAGGUUUGGUCGAUCGAUCGGCUCGUGUCGUGUGUGCCUGGCUCCCUGUAUGCCACACAUGUAGCCAACCCGUGGCGUGAUUGGAUGCUGUGGGUGGCGUGCAAGGAGCCAAGCAUGCAUAACAGGCCAUGAUCACUUCCUCUCUAUCCUCUGAUCUGUUGAAUAUAUCUGUAUCGUGUUUUUUUUCCCGAGAUGAUGAUGCACUUAUUUCAUGCUGUUACAUGCAUCUGUAUGCUUGUCUUGGGUUCGAAUUGCUUCUGCAGGGUUAGAAUUUAGGACUGGUUUGGAGAAGGCAGGUGAGUUCCAAUCCUCUUUCAAAGCUCCAUCAAUCGACAUCACGAAAUUGAGAGAGAGUUUACAGUUCGCCCAUUUUUUAUCCUAAAAACACAUCUACUUUUCUUUUGCUUACAUGAGAGCCUAGCCGCCUCUUGCCGCUGAAUCUGUGUUGAUUUGUUUGGUUUCCGUCGUAUCCAUAGGAAACCACCCGUUGUCUGCUAGAUGUAGUCCAUUUGAUCACCGAUCUGAGCUAAGCUAGUGGUUGUCCACCUUUUGUUUGUUUUGGUUUUUGUCUCUACGACCAUUUGCGGCCACUGGAAUCGGCAGUGCGCAAGUCUUUUUGUAAUUUAGUUCGUCAGUUUUCGUCUGGACUAGUGUGCAUCUGAAACGGACUUAGCUGGAUUUCGUU